rnacentral:rRNA from 1 species
UACGUAGGGGGCAAGCGUUGUCCGGAAUCAUUGGGCGUAAAGCGCGUGUAGGCGGCUGACUAAGUCCGCUCUGAAAGCCCGGGGCUCAACCCCGGGAGGCGGGUGGAUACUGUCGGGCUUGAGUACGGAAGAGGCGAGUGGAAUUCCUGGUGUAGCGGUGAAAUGCGCAGAUAUCAGGAGGAACACCGAUGGCGAAGGCAGCUCGCUGGGACGGUACUGACGCUGAGGCGCGAAAGCGUGGGGAGCGAACAGG